rnacentral:misc_RNA from 1 species
CAACCUACAAGGCUUUUGUUUUGUAGGCUUGGACUUGGAGGCGUUGCCGAUGUUUUUAUUUACGUUGGCUCCUCUCAAAUGCAUUAGCUAGCGUCCUUUGCGGAUCAGCUUUUCGGUGUGAUAAUUGUCUACGCCGUAGUUGUGAAGCGUUUUUGACCAGCUUCUAA